rnacentral:rRNA from 1 species
GAUGAACGCUAGCGGCAGGCCUAAUACAUGCAAGUCGAGCGGCAAGUCGAGGAGUAAUCUGAGACCUAGAGCGGCGUACGGGUACGUAACGCGUAUGCAACCUACCUCAUACAGGGGGAUAGCCCGGAGAAAUCUGGAUUAAUACCCCAUAGCACAGCACAAGGGCAUCUGCGAGCUGUUAAAGAUUCAUCGGUAUGAGAUGGGCAUGCGUCUGAUUAGCUAGUUGGCGGUGUACGGACCACCAAGGCGACGAUCAGUAGGGGUUCUGAGAGGAAGGUCCCCCACACUGACACUGAGAUACGGGCCAGACUCCUACGGGAGGCAGCAGUAGGGAAUAUUGGGCAAUGGACGAGAGUCUGACCCAGCCAUGCCGCGUGCAGGAAGAAGGCCUUCUGGGUUGUAAACUGCUUUUAUCUGGGAAGAAAAGGCCCAUGCGUGGGACAUUGCCGGUACCAGAUGAAUAAGCACCGGCUAACUCCGUGCCAGCCGCCGCGGUAA